rnacentral:rRNA from 1 species
UUGAACGCUGGCGGAAUGCUUUACACAUGCAAGUCGAGCGGCAGCGCGGGGGCAACCCUGGCGGCGAGCGGCGAACGGGUGAGUAAUACAUCGGAACGUACCCAGUUGUGGGGGAUAGCCCGGCGAAAGCCGGAUUAAUACCGCAUAAGUCCUGAGGGAGAAAGCGGGGGAUCGCAAGACCUCGCGCGAUUGGAGCGGCCGAUAUCGGAUUAGCUAGUUGGUGAGGUAAAGGCUCACCAAGGCGACGAUCCGUAGCGGGUGUGAGAGGACGACCCGCCACACUGGAACUGAGACACGGUCCAGACUCCUACGGGGGGCAGCAGUGGGGAAUUGUGGACAAUGGGGGAAACCCUGAUCCAGCCAUUCCGCGUGAGUGAAGAAGGCCUUCGGGUUGUAAAGCUCUUUCAGCAGGAACGAAACGGUCGGCUUUAAUAAAGUCGGCUAAUGACGGUACCUGCAGAAGAAGCACCGGCUAACUACGU